CCACAGCCGCUCGGGCGGGGCCCCUCCUCUCCGCUUCCUCUUUCUUCUCCUCUCCUGCCUCCUUCCGGGAUGUUUGCCCACACGGAGGCCCCCAUGAAGGAUCAAUUUCUCCUGGAUUCAUUCAGUCAGCAAGUAUUUACUGAGUAUCAACUGUACCCCAAGUUCUGUUUCCGGGCACUGAGAAUUCGGGGACGAAUAAGAUAGUGAAUUCCCAACAUUAUGUCACGUUACCGGAAGCCGUGAG